rnacentral:rRNA from 1 species
UACAGAGGGUGCAAGCGUUAAUCGGAAUUACUGGGCGUAAAGCGCACGUAGGCGGUUUUGUAAGUCUGUCGUGAAAGCCCCGGGCUCAACCUGGGAAUUGCAUUUGAAACUGGAAAACUAGAGUGUGUGAGAGGGGGGUAGAAUUCCAAGUGUAGCGGUGAAAUGCGUAGAGAUUUGGAGGAAUACCAGUGGCGAAGGCGGCCCCCUGGCACAACACUGACGCUCAGGUGCGAAAGCGUGGGGAGCAAACAGG